ensembl:snRNA U6 U6 spliceosomal RNA
CUGCUCGCUUCAGCAGCACAUACGCUAAAACUGGACCGAUACAGGGAAGAGUAGCAUGGCCCCUGCACAAGGAUGACACGCAAAUUUGUGAAGCCUUCCAGUUUUUA